GCGGCGGACGGGUGAGUAACGCGUGGGUAACCUGCCCCUCAGCCCGGGAUAACCGUCGGAAACGAUGGCUAAUACCGGAUGCUGUAUACAUAUCGCAUGAUGUGUAUACGAAAGUUCAGGCGCUGAGGGAUGGGCCCGCGUCCCAUUAGCUAGUUGGUGAGGUAACGGCUCACCAAGGCGACGAUGGGUAGCCGGCCUGAGAGGGUGACCGGCCACACUGGGACUGAGACACGGCCCAGACUCCUACGGGAGGCAGCAGUCGGGGAUCUUCCACAAUGGGCGAAAGCCUGAUGGAGCGACGCCGCGUGAGGGAUGAAGGUCUUCGGAUCGUAAACCUCUGCCUUCCGGGACGACAAUGACGGUACCGGAGGAGGAAGCCACGGCUAACUACGUGCCAGCAGCCGCGGUAAUACGUAGGUGGCGAGCGUUGUCCGGAAUUACUGGGCGUAAAGGGUGCGUAGGCGGUGCCUUAAGUCCUGUGUGAAAUCUAUCG
rnacentral:rRNA from 1 species